UGAGGAAUCUUGCGCAAUGGGGGAAACCCUGACGCAGCAACGCCGCGUGAGUGAGGAAGGUCUUCGGAUCGUAAAGCUCUGUCAGAUGGAAAGAACCGCAUGGGGGCCAAUACCCCUCAUGCCUGACGGUACCAUCAGAGGAAGCACCGGCUAACUCCGUGCCAGCAGCCGCGGUAAUACGGGGGGUGCAAGCGUUGUUCGGAAUUAUUGGGCGUAAAGAGCGUGUAGGCGGCAGGAGGUGUCAGAUGUGAAAGCCCUGGGCUCAACUCAGGAAGUGCAUUUGAGACUGUCCAGCUUGAGUAGGGGAGAGGGAAUUGGAAUUCCUGGUGUAGAGGUGAAAUGCGUAGAUAUCAGGAGGAACACCGGUGGCGAAGGCGACUUCCUGGCCCUAUACUGACGCUGAGACGCGAGAGCGUGGGUAGCAAACA
rnacentral:rRNA from 1 species